rnacentral:rRNA from 1 species
AACCUUACCGUGGGCUUGACAUCCCGGGAACUCCCCGUGGAAACGGGGAGGUGCCCGUUCGGGGGACGAGGGUGACGAGGUGGUGCAUGGUUGUCGUCAGCUCGUGUCGUGAGAUGUUGGGUUAAGUCCCGCAACGAGCGCAACCCUCGCCUUUAGUUGCCAGCAUUCAGUUGGGCACUCUAAAGGGACUGCCGGUGUCAAACCGGAGGAAGGUGGGAUGACGUCAAGUCCUCAUGGCCUUUAUGUCUAGGGCUACACACGUACUACAAUGGCAGGUACAAAGGGCAGCGACACAGCGAUGUGAUGCGAAUCCCGAAAAGCCUGUCUCAGUCCGGAUCGGAGUCUGCAACUCGACUCCGUGAAGUUGGAAUCGCUAGUAAUCGUGGAUCAGCAUGCCCACGGUCGAAUACGUUCCCGGGCCUU